GUCUACGGCCAUAUCACCCUGAACACGCCCGAUCUCGUCUGAUCUGGGAAGCUAAGCAGGGUCGGGCCUGGUUAGUACUUGGAUGGGAGACAAGUACUUUCUUGACA
rnacentral:rRNA from 1 species